GUGGGCUAUGGGGACAUGUACCCCAUGACAAUCGGUGGCAAGAUUGUGGGGUCCUUGUGUGCCAUCGCGGGAGUUCUCACCAUUGCUCUUCCUGUCCCUGUCAUCGUGUCCAAC
rfam:Chaetura pelagica isolate M959 contig7169, whole genome shotgun sequence.